GGAAAGGUGUCCGAGUGGUUUAUGGUUUAGAUUUGGAAUGUCUAAAUGGUGUUUCUAGCCAUCAAGGGUUCGAAUCCCUUCCUUUCCU
rnacentral:tRNA from 1 species